UAUCGUUGCUUGACAACGAGAGAGAGCACGCUAGUUAGCAUCCAUAAAAGGGACAUGGGCUGUGUACAAGCGUGCUCUCUAUCGUUGUCAUACGAUCUGCAU
rnacentral:pre_miRNA from 1 species